rnacentral:rRNA from 1 species
UACAGAGAGUGCAAACGUUGUUCGGAAUUACUGGGCUUGAAGCGCACGUAGGCGGCGUUGUAAGUGUCGGGUGAAAUCCCACGGCUCACCCGUGGAACUGCCCGGCAUACUGCGAUGCUAGAGUGUGGUAGGGGAGAGCGGAACUCCUGGUGGAGCGGUGAAAUGCGUAGAUAUCAGGAGGAACACCGGUGGCGAAGGCAGGUCUCUGGGCCGAUACUGACGCUGAGGAGCGAAAGCGUGGGGAGCGAACAGG